rnacentral:rRNA from 1 species
ACCUACGGGGCGCAGCAGUGGGGAAUAUUGGACAAUGGGCGCAAGCCUGAUCCAGCAAUGCCGCGUGUGUGAAGAAGGCCUUCGGGUUGUAAAGCACUUUAAGUUGGGAGGAAAAGCUAAGAGUUAAUAGCCUUUAGUGUUGACGUUACCAACAGAAUAAGCACCGGCUAACUCCGUGCCAGCAGCCGCGGUAAUACGGAGGGUGCAAGCGUUAAUCGGAAUUACUGGGCGUAAAGCGCGCGUAGGCGGUUAUUUAAGUCAGAUGUGAAAGCCCCGGGCUUAACCUGGGAAUGGCAUUUGAGACUGGAUGGCUAGAGUAUGGUAGAGGUGAGUGGAAUUUCAGGUGUAGCGGUGAAAUGCGUAGAGAUCUGAAGGAACAUCAGUGGCGAAGGCGGCCACCUGGACUAGAUCUGACGCUCAGGUGCGAAAGCGUGGGGAGCAAACAGGAUUAGAUACCCGUGUAGUCU